rnacentral:misc_RNA from 1 species
GAAAAGAAAAGGAAGGGAAAGAAGAAAAAUAGAGGGCGGAGAGAGAUUAUUAGCGAGAGUUUUUCCCUCAAUUUCUAAGUAGCCAUGACUUCAAAAUUCCAGCUACUUACAACUCCUCCUUGAAGGUGAGUGUUGGGUUUGUUGUUAGGGAGAGAAACCAAGCAUUUAGAGAGAAAAAACAAAGGGGUAAAAUUGAAGUUCAAUUUUUUUCGGCCAAAUAAGUAAAAGAUGGCAAUGAUGCAGGACAUCAUCCUUAUCCUCAUCGUCUAAACUUUCCAUAGACAUCAAGUUUGGCUGAUUUAAUGGUUGGAGGAAGGAGAACAGAAGAGAGAGAAACAAAUGGGGAAAAGCCUUGAUCUGGCCAAACUGGAGCUCAUUUGCGAGUGUGGUGGGUACCAGCAGACUCAGGAAGUCGAGGCACAUCUGUGGUGGCGGGGCGACGGUUGUCAGAGCUCCAGUAGCCCCGUGUGGGCGCCACGUGCUACCUCGAGUGGUAGCGGUAAGACCCGCCUAGAAAUGGGUUUUUAUAUUUUUAAAAAUUUCUAAAAAUUAUCCUUAGCAACUUUAAUUCUUGGAUUAGGG